GUGGCUGAAUUGGUAAAUCGUCUGCCUUCGGUGCGGGUGGAUCCAAGUUCGAAUCAUGCGAGAAACU